rnacentral:rRNA from 1 species
GAAUAUUGCGCAAUGGGCGAAAGCCUGACGCAGCCACGCCGCGUGGAGGAUGACACCCCUAUGGGGCGUAAACUCCUUUUAUAUGAGAAGAAACUCCCGUUCGUCGGGAAUCGACGGUAUCAUAUGAAUACGCACCGGCUAACUCCGUCCCAGCAGCCGCGGUAAUACGGAGGGUGCAAGCGUUGUCCGGAUUCACUGGGUGUAAAGGGUGUGUAGGCGGAGUGACAAGUCAGAGGUGAAAUCCUGCAGCUUAACUGUAGAAUUGCCUUUGAUACUGCCAUUCUUGAGUACCGGAGAGGCCACUGGAAUUCGUGGUGUAGCGGUGAAAUGCGUAGAUAUCACGAGGAACACCUGAGGCGUAGGCGGGUGGCUGGACGAGUACUGACGCUGAGGCACGAAAGCGUGGGGAGCAAACAGG